AAUAUUGGACAAUGGGGGCAACCCUGAUCCAGCCAUGCCGCGUGUGUGAAGAAGGUCUUCGGAUUGUAAAUCACUCUAAGUUGAGAGGAGGGUCUUUAGGAUAAUACCCUGAAUUUUUGACGUUACCAACAGAAGAAGCACCGGCUAACCCUGUGCCAGCAGCCGCGGUAAUACUGAGGGUGCAAGCGUUAAUCGGAAUUACUGGGCGUAAAGCGCGCGUAGGUGAUUCAGUAAGAUGGGUGUAAACGCCCCGGGGUUAACCUGGGAACUGCUUUCAUAACUGCUGAGCUAGAGUACGGUAGAGGGUAGUGGAAUUUCCUGUGUAGCGGUGAAAUGCGUAGAUAUAGGAAGGAACACCAGUGGCGAAGGCGACUACCUGGACUGAUACUGACACUGAGGUGCGAAAGCGUGGGGAGCAAAC
rnacentral:rRNA from 1 species